GCCUAUGGCCAUACCACUCUGAAUGCUCCCAAUUUAGUCUGAUCUCCCAAGCUAAGCAGGGUCGGCCUGGUUAGUACUUGGAUGGGAGAUUGCCUGUGAAUACCAGGGGAUAUAGUCU
rnacentral:rRNA from 1 species